rnacentral:rRNA from 1 species
GGCUACACACGUGCUACAAUGGGUAGUACAGAGAGUUGCAAAGCCGCGAGGUGGAGCUAAUCUCAGAAAACUAUUCUUAGUUCGGACUGUACUCUGCAACUCGAGUACAUGAAGUUGGAAUCGCUAGUAAUCGCGAAUCAGCAAUGUCGCGGUGAAUACGUUCUCGGGUCUUGUACACACCGCCCGUCACACCACGAGAGUUGGUUGCACCUGAAGUAGCAGGCCUAACCGUAAGGAGGGAUGCUCCGAGGGUGUGAUUAGCGAUUGGGGUGAAGUCGUAACAAGGUAUCCGUACGGGAACGU